CCUGCAGUAUGAUUGAGGUUUUUGUCGCACACAGUUCUUUGAGAAUUGCGUGUUUGUUGUAGAUUGUAGUAUUGCGUGUUUGUUGUAGAUUGUAGUGUGUGUUGUAAGCUUUACUUUGUCGGGGCGCGGGCUUCUGGGUAAUUAAACGUUUAGCUCAACGUACGUAUUCUAGCUUUUUUGCACAACUUGGUUUUUCUUUGUUAAUUUAUUUCUUUCUUUUCCCAUUCAUUGUUAAAUUAUUUCAUUGCAGCUAAAAUAAAUAUUUUGUUUAAUGUAAUUUGACGGGGUUUUUUUUAGAAGCGAGCAUUCUAACGUCCUUUUUCGUCUAUAUAAUAAAUUAAGCUUCAAUUUCGUUAUACCGGUAUUCUGUUUGUUUUUAAAAUGACACAUGGGAGUUUACUUUGCAUUUUCAAUUCUGUAUUCUAAGGAUAAUAUAUAUUAGUGCAAUGUUCAAACGUAAAAUAUAACAAAUAUACGUUAUUGUAACAUAUUAUCUUUUAUAUAAAAAAAAAAAAAAAAAAACUAAAAAAUAUAAAAAUUAAAACCCCAAUAAAAACACACUUGUAUUUGAUUUAAAACGUAUUUUUCUAUCUUUGCUCUAGUGGUGUACAGGGGGUGUGCUGACUCUCAGUGGGGCCUCCCUGACCCGAUGCCGCCAGACGGCUGUUACACUUGGUACAUGGAGGUGUGGUGCAUCUGCAACGACGGACUCUGUAACAACCAGCCCUUAGGUGAACCUAAAACCGACUUUGAAGCUCAUUUACCCAAAGAGGAGGACAAGGAAACUGGUACUGCAAGUGUGGUGUGUCAGCACAAAACUCUCGUUUUCCUCCUCUGUCAGAUACUCCUUCUCAUGUGCAAAUGAAUACAUAUAAUACUCCA